rnacentral:rRNA from 1 species
UGAUUGGUGCUUGCAUCAUGAUUUACAUUUGAGUGAGUGGCGAACUGGUGAGUAACACGUGGGAAACCUGCCCAGAAGCGGGGGAUAACACCUGGAAACAGAUGCUAAUACCGCAUAACAACUUGGACCGCAUGGUCCGAGCUUGAAAGAUGGCUUCGGCUAUCACUUUUGGAUGGUCCCGCGGCGUAUUAGCUAGAUGGUGGGGUAACGGCUCACCAUGGCAAUGAUACGUAGCCGACCUGAGAGG